AUUGAACGCUGGCGGCAGGCCUAACACAUGCAAGUCGAGCGGAUGAGUGGAGCUUGCUCCAUGAUUCAGCGGCGGACGGGUGAGUAAUGCCUAGGAAUCUGCCUGGUAGUGGGGGACAACGUUUCGAUAGGAACGCUAAUACCGCAUACGUCCUACGGGAGAAAGUGGGGGAUCUUCGGACCUCACGCUAUCAGAUGAGCCUAGGUCGGAUUAGCUAGUUGGUGAGGUAAAGGCUCACCAAGGCGACGAUCCGUAACUGGUCUGAGAGGAUGAUCAGUCACACUGGAACUGAGACACGGUCCAGACUCGUACGGGAAGCAGCAGUGGGGAAUAUUGGACAAUGGGCGAAAGCCUGAUCCAGCCAUGCCGCGUGUGUGAAGAAGGUCUUCGGAUUGUAAAGCACUUUAAGUUGGGAGGAAGGGCAGUAAGUUGAUACCUUGCUGUUUUGACGUUACCAACAGAAUAAGCACCGGCUAACUUCGUGCCAGCCGCCGCGGUAAGAC
rnacentral:rRNA from 1 species